rnacentral:rRNA from 1 species
GACGAACGCUGGCGGCGUGCCUAAUACAUGCAAGUAGAACGCUGAAGGAGGAGCUUGCUUCUCUGGAUGAGUUGCGAACGGGUGAGUAACGCGUAGGUAACCUGCCUGGUAGUGGGGGAUAACUAUUGGAAACGAUAGCUAAUACCGCAUAAGAGUAGAUGUUGCAUGACAUUUGCUUAAAAGGUGCAAUUGCAUCACUACCAGAUGGACCUGCGUUGUAUUAGCUAGUUGGUGGGGUAACGGCUCACCAAGGCGACGAUACAUAGCCGACCUGAGAGGGUGAUCGGCCACACUGGGACUGAGACACGGCCCAGACUCCUACGGGAGGCAGCAGUAGGGAAUCUUCGGCAAUGGACGGAAGUCUGACCGAGCAACGCCGCGUGAGUGAAGAAGGUUUUCGGAUCGUAAAGCUCUGUUGUAAGAGAAGAACGAGUGUGAGAGUGGAAAGUUCACACUGUGACGGUAUCUGACCAGAAAGGGACGGCUAACUACGUG